rnacentral:rRNA from 1 species
GAUGAACGCUGGCGGCGUGCCUAAUACAUGCAAGUCGAGCGAACGGACGAGAAGCUUGCUUCUCUGAUGUUAGCGGCGGACGGGUGAGUAACACGUGGAUAACCUACCUAUAAGACUGGGAUAACUUCGGGAAACCGGAGCUAAUACCGGAUAAUAUUUUGAACCGCAUGGUUCAAAAGUGAAAGACGGUCUUGCUGUCACUUAUAGAUGGAUCCGCGCUGCAUUAGCUAGUUGGUAAGGUAACGGCUUACCAAGGCAACGAUGCAUAGCCGACCUGAGAGGGUGAUCGGCCACACUGGAACUGAGACACGGUCCAGACUCCUACGGGAGGCAGCAGUAGGGAAUCUUCCGCAAUGGGCGAAGGCCUGACGGAGCAACGCCGCGUGAGUGAUGAAGGUCUUCGGAUCGUAAAACUCUGUUAUUAGGGAAGAACAUAUGUGUAAGUAACUGUGCACAUCUUGACGGUACCUAAUCAGAAAGCCACGGCUAACUACGUGCCAGCAGCCGCGGUAAUACGUAGGUGGCAAGCGUUAUCCGGAAUUAUUGGGCGUAAAGCGCGCGUAGGCGGUUUUUUAAGUCUGAUGUGAAAGCCCACGGCUCAACCGUGGAGGGUCAUUGGAAACUGGAAAACUUGAGUGCAGAAGAGGAAAGUGGAAUUCCAUGUGUAGCGGUGAAAUGCGCAGAGAUAUGGAGGAACACCAGUGGCGAAGGCGACUUUCUGGUCUGCAACUGACGCUGAUGUGCGAAAGCGUGGGGAUCAAACAGGAUUAGAUACCCUGGUAGUCCACGCCGUAAACGAUGAGUGCUAAGUGUUAGGGGGUUUCCGCCCCUUAGUGCUGCAGCUAACGCAUUAAGCACUCCGCCUGGGGAGUACGACCGCAAGAUUGAAACUCAAAGGAAUUGACGGGGACCCGCACAAGCGGUGGAGCAUGUGGUUUAAUUCGAAGCAACGCGAAGAACCUUACCAAAUCUUGACAUCCUUUGACAACUCUAGAGAUAGAGCUUUCCCCUUCGGGGGACAAAGUGACAGGUGGUGCAUGGUUGUCGUCAGCUCGUGUCGUGAGAUGUUGGGUUAAGUCCCGCAACGAGCGCAACCCUUAAGCUUAGUUGCCAUCAUUAAGUUGGGCACUCUAAGUUGACUGCCGGUGACAAACCGGAGGAAGGUGGGGAUGACGUCAAAUCAUCAUGCCCCUUAUGAUUUGGGCUACACACGUGCUACAAUGGACAAUACAAAGGGCAGCGAAACCGCGAGGUCAAGCAAAUCCCAUAAAGUUGUUCUCAGUUCGGAUUGUAGUCUGCAACUCGACUACAUGAAGCUGGAAUCGCUAGUAAUCGUAGAUCAGCAUGCUACGGUGAAUACGUUCCCGGGUCU